GAGGGUCCGCGGCUUCAUUCUUGAAGUCAGUGAGACCAAGAACCCACCAAUUCCGGACACAGAAUUUCAUGGAGCCUGGAGCCCAGGAAAAGGGUGAAUCCAAUGCAGGCUGAUUUCUGGCUUACAUCACAGUCCAGUCUGAUUUUCUGCAGAUUACUUUCUACAAGACGAUUUGGGACCUCAGUUUACCACCUCCCAGCGGACCGACGGGUGCGGUGAGUGGAGAUGAUUUUGUUUGCAAUAGUUUCAAAGUAACCCCUUCCACAGACACAAAUUGUUCAUUAGUUAUAAAUAGAACAACAGUAACUUUACAGUGGAAAAAGCUGGCGGACAUCAUUUUAGCCACAUAAUCAAAGUUAACGUCAACAGUAAGGAGAAAAUCAACACCACGUGUCUUCUGACAACAACGCGCUGAUGGGAGCCCAACAUCAUUUACACCAUAAAUCAAAUGUUUAUCCGUUGGCGAUUCCAGCCAAAAAUAGAUAACCUGAUCCAAUCAUGAGGGAACUUCAGACAAACCCAAACUGAAGGACAUUCUACAGAAUAACUGGUCUGUACUCAUAACAAAGAAUCAAUGUCAUGAGGGACCAUGAAAGGCUGAGGAUGUCCCACAGGUUGAAAGUGACGAAAACAAACAAAAAACAACCAGCAACCAACUACGAUGCACAACCUUGGAUUGGAGCCUUCUCAAAAUUGCUGAAAAUAACAGUGGAACAAGUGGUGAAAUUUGAAUAUGGGCUAUAUGUUAGGUAUUCAUUUUAUGUCAAUGUUAAAUUUUCCGACAUUGAUAUUUGUACCAGGAAAUGUAAAAGAAGGCCCAAAUUUAGCGAUAAAUUAUGCCUGCCACUCACUCUCUCCAAUGAUUCAGAAGAUAGUACGGAUGAUGAACAGAUGACAGAGACAUGGUAGGUAGAUCAAUAGAUGGAUGGAUAGAUAGAAAAUAUGAAAUAAGAAACUCCUGGACACGAACCGUACAGACCAAGUUCAUCACUCCUGUGAGGGAGAACCUUGAAUUCCCAUAAGAAAAACUGAAUGUGCAGGAAGCGUAUCUCAUUCAGUUCACAAACCAUGAUGGGUUCUGUGUUCACCCUGGCUAACUAUCUACUUCUACCUCUCCUCUCCUCCUCUCCUCUCCUCUCCUCUCCUCUCCUCUCCUCUCCUCUCCU
rnacentral:lncRNA from 10 species